rnacentral:rRNA from 1 species
GACGAACCACCCAAACGUUAUUCGGAAUUACUGGGCUUAAAGGGUGCGUAGGCGGUGCGGAAAGUUGGGUGUGAAAUACCUCAGCUUAACUGAGGAAUGGCGCUCAAAACUACCGUGCUCGAGGGAGGUAGAGGUGAGCGGAACUUAGGGUGGAGCGGUGAAAUGCGUUGAUAUCCUAAGGAACACCGGUGGCGAAAGCGGCUCACUGGAUCUCUUCUGACGCUGAGGCACGAAAGCUAGGGUAGCGAACGGG